UGAGCCCAGCGCGUUCCAUUUGUCCUCCGGUGUGACGUCGUUCCCAGAACGCCCCGGGGGGGCGGGGCCGCUGCAAGGGCUUGAGUCACAUGAGCAGAGCCAGGCUGACCAAUUCCAAUAUGGUGGCUAGCUUGGCAGGUCUACGGUUCCUGUUGAUGAUAUUGUUGUUCUGCGGGAUCAGGUACGGCGCCUGCAGCCAGGAAGCUCCGCUGGUUCUGGGGCUGCGACUGGAAGACCCGACGGGUCUGGUGUGUAUGAAGGAUCGGAUCAUCUCGGCGCCAGAAGGAGCCACGUUCAACCUCCGUCUUUUUGGGACUGGGCUGGAUGGAAACUGGACGUGGGUGGCGUUCGCAGGGGCAGCUGGCGGAGCCGCGGGGUCGGUCGGGGAUACGCCUGACCCGUGCGAGCUGGAGUCCAACCGCCAGGAGUCCGCUUUCCAGGUGACGGGUAAUAUCACCCAGGAUGAGGAAAACAGCCGGCUGGUACAUGUAGAGGUCCGGCAGAGGAGCAUCUCUGGCAGCGAGCACACCUACUACCAACUGUGCGUGCUGAGCGGAGAGAAAUGGGCUUCUGUAGGCUCGGAAAGACUACGGAUCAGCGGUCCACCCGUGGACUACAUCCCGCCGUGGGGUCUGGCCGUGCUGGUCGUGCUGCUGCUUCUGGUCUGCGGAACACUGAGGAUAGUGAACCUGAGCCUUCUGUGGCUGGACCCCGUGGAGCUGUAUGUCCUUCAUAGCUGUGGAUCCGAGGAGGAGAAGCGGGCCGCCAAGCGCCUGGAGCCGAUCAGGCGGAGGGGGAACUUCUUGACAUGUUCUUUGCUGUUUCUGUGUGCUAUGGGACACUCUGUCCUUGGCGUCCUCCUGUACCGGGCGCUGGGCUCCAUCGUCUCGGCCGUGUUCACCAGCGGCCUCCUCAUCUUCUUCCUGGCUGAGCUGGGUCCUCACAUGCUGUGCUCCGGUUACGGGUUCCAGCUGGCGCCGGCUCUGACCUGGCUGGCCCAGGUUUGCUUGGUGCUCACCUGCCCCCUGUCCUGCCCUCUGGGGCUGAUCCUGGACCUGGGCCUGAGGCGGGACAUCAGCACCUGUGGGAUCAGGGAGAGGACCAUGGAGAUGAUCCGCACAAGCGUCAACGACCCUUACAGUGAGUUUGUGAAGGAGGAGUUCAGCCGCGGGAUGCUGCGCACUAAGACGGUGGAGGACAUCCUGACGCCCCUGAAGGACUGCUUCAUGCUGCCCAGCUCGGUCGUCCUGGACUUCUCCACCAUGUCUGACAUCAUGCAGUGCGGGUACACCCGGGUUCCCAUCUACGAGGAGGAGAGGUCCAACAUUGUGGAAAUCCUUUAUGUGAAGGACUUGGCGCUGGUGGACCCAGACGACUGCACCCCCAUGACGACCAUCACCAAGUUCUACAACCACCCGCUGCACUACGUCUUCAACGACACCAAACUGGACGCCAUGCUGGAGGAGUUCAAGAAAGGCAACUCUCACAUGGCCAUCGUCCAGAAAGUGAACAACGAGGGGGAGGGCGAUCCUUUCUACGAGGUGCUGGGAUUGGUCACGCUGGAGGACGUCAUCGAGGAGAUCAUCAAGUCCGAGAUCCUGGACGAGUCCGACGGAUACUUAGACAGGAAGGUGAAGCGUCCUCUCGCUCCGCUGGAGAUUCCUCUGGAGUCUCGCAGCGUCCACGAGGAGUUUUCUCUCUUCAAGCCUCCCGAAGGAGAAGCCAAGAUCCGAACCUCACCACAACUCCUGCUGGCUACACACCGCUUCCUGUCCAGAGAGGUGUCACACUUCAGCCCCGGCCGUGUUUCGGAGAAGGUCCUGUUCCACCUGCUCCGUCACCCCAGUGUCAACCAGGAAGUGCACUUUGAUCCAAAUAACCGGCUGAGCCCAGGUCACUAUCUCUACACGCGCAACCACCCGGUCGACUAUUUCAUCCUGCUGCUGCAGGGCCGUGUGGAGGUGGAGAUCGGUAAAGAGGGGCUGAAGUUUGAGAACGGAGCGUUUACAUACUACGGCAUGUCUGCGCUCACGCUGCCAUCUUCAGUGCACCAGUCUCCAGUAUCGACGCAGCGUCACUCUCCCAACGAUCCCUUUGAGUCAGCAGACGCUACGAGCCCAUCCAACUAUUGUCCCGACUACACCGUCCGAGCUCUCACCGACCUGCAGCUCAUACGGGUGACACGUCUCCAGUAUCUGAACGCUCUCAUGGCGUCGCGGGUCGGUCCGAGCCCAGAUCCUCCCGAGAUUAAGAUCCUGCCCAACAGUCAGACCAAGCUGCUCAACGAGAGAAACGCCACACAACAAGAGUUCCCCGUAAACUUUUCUUUCUUUGAUACCAUUGAGAACUACUGUUAGUAUUUUUUUGUGCAUGAGUUUCUGCUUUACCUGAAAUCAUCUCACUUCUCUCUGUCGGGUGCCAGUAGCGCCCAGGAGAGGUUCACAGAAGAGGAGGCUCAUGGGUAGUGCGGUUCUGACCUGCUUCAACCAAGUAGAGCUUUUUUAGUUAGUUUUUAUUGCUGAAUCAUCUAUGGCUGGAACGUAGUUAUUGGACAAGACUGGAGCGAGAGUGAUUUCCUUUAUUUAGAUCUGCUGCUCACACAUCUCAUCUCCAUCCCCAUUCCUUUGUCAUUUCCAUUGCAAUUAUUAUUUCAUGUGUUUU